rnacentral:rRNA from 1 species
GACGAACGCUGGCGGCGUGCUUAACACAUGCAAGUCGAACGGAAAGGCCCUGCUUUUGUGGGGUGCUCGAGUGGCGAACGGGUGAGUAACACGUGAGUAACCUGCCCUUGACUUUGGGAUAACUUCAGGGAACUGGGGCUAAUACCGGAUAGGAGCUCCUGCUGCAUGGUGGGGGUUGGAAAGUUUCGGCGGUUGGGGAUGGACUCGCGGCUUAUCAGCUUGUUGGUGGGGUAGUGGCUUACCAAGGCUUUGACGGGUAGCCGGCCUGAGAGGGUGACCGGCCACAUUGGGACUGAGAUACGGCCCAGACUCCUACGGGAGGCAGCAGUGGGGAAUAUUGCACAAUGGGCGGAAGCCGGAUGCAGCAACGCCGCGUGCGGGAUGACGGCCUUCGGGUUGUAAACCGCUUUCGCCUGUGACGAAGCGUGAGUGACGGUAAUGGGUAAAGAAGCACCGGCUAACUACGUG